CAACCUUGUCUGUGGGACUCUGGCGCGCAAAGCUCGUACGCUGCUGAAACGGCGUCUCCACACGUUUAAGCCCGUUCCCUCUAGUAUUUAGUCGCCGUUGCGAUCUGCAGGUUAACCGCGGUCGUGUGAAGGUCUCGCGUUACACCAUUAGGCAUUCUCCGUUUUUUUUUUUUUCCAAUUUUCAUCUUUGAUGGAGCUGCGCGGCGGCCUUCACAAACUUCACAGGUGGGGCAACGCGCUGGGCGACGCGCCGCUCGACCUCCUGCCAAGUAAACGCAAGCGGGGCGAUUUCGGUGACUGCGCUUACAGCGGCGCUCCUCAAGAGCCAGCAGGAACGAACGGGAAUUUUGUCCACAUCAGGGGCGAGCAAGGAGUCUACUGCUCCGAGAGCUGGGCGCCCAAUGGCAGCACGCUGUACCUCCCCGUCAGCGGCAGCCUGCUGGCCAACAUGGCCAAGUAUGACCAGAUCAGCUUCGAACAGGGCCUGUUCUUCAUCGGGGACUCGUCGGGGGGCUUUCAGCAGAAGGCGCAAGGCCAAGCUCUCCACUGCUGGAGAUACAGUAAGCAAGAGAAGAAGCUGUUCAUUGCACUCUCCUACUUUUUCACAAACCCACAAAUUUUCCAGGAUGUGGUCAACUCUCUCAGUUGCCUUUGAGGGACUGAAAAUAACCCAAAGUUUCAUCAGCCAAAGUAGUACCAGCAGCUUUUGAUUCCAUAUUCCAGGAACUACAACACCGUUUUUUUUUCACUUUGUGGGAAAGUGUCUGCGGUUCCCUUGGAGGCCUACGCUGGACAAUCUCUGAUAAAUGGCGUUCACGGAGAAGAUUUUAUUUGAAUGAAUAUUUUAUAAGGCUUCACAUUUUAUACCAGCCGUGCCUGUUUCCACAGCUUAUUAGAAGUGGUCUUCAUAUGUUGUAGAGUGGCCUAUAUAGAUAUAUAUAUAUCUAAAAAUGUAACUCCCACUAGUCAGACAACUUUAUAUGAUUCUUUGGAGCAGAAAAGUAUCAGCCGAUGUUGUGGCCGACCACCUGAAAGGAAUUUUUUUUUUUUAUGGUGGGACUCAUUCAGGCCGGAAAUUUUCCUGUAUCCCAGUUCUCAUCAGUAUGCUGCUACUUUGAUUACGUGGCCUUGGUGUCAGAGACUGGACCAGCGCGGUAGAUAGUGCUAUCAUGUCCUGGUGGGACUGGGAUAAAAUAGCCAUCUCAUCUAAUCUGAUGACAGGGUCAGACAAUACCAGUAUCUAUGAUGACCAGACUUAGUUAUAUCUGAUCAAUUUGCCAAUGGUAAGUUUCCUUCAAUGCCGAAUGAAGCCAUAAUGUCACACAGAUAUGACAGAUCUGUCUGUAUGCCUUAUCUGUCUGUACAAUAUCCUGUUGUAAAAAUGGUUCUUAAAUGGUUAUAUUGUAUAUAUAUAUAUUUCUUACUUCCCCUUUUUUGAUUUGACAUGUUUUCAUGUAAAUGUUGUGUUGUUUCAUUAAAUGUUGAUCUUUUGUAGCCUCUUGGUUUUUUAUUAUUAAAAGGAC
rnacentral:lncRNA from 1 species